ACACAAAAAGGCAGUCAAAACAGGCAGAGGUAUUCAGGACGCGAGGCAAAAGACAAGGUCAAAAACGAGCAGGGAUCAAACACUAAGAGGCAAAGACUAUGGCUGUGAAUAAUGCUGGAACGUGAAGCUAUGAACAACAAGACAAGCCACAAGAGGGUAUAUAUACACAAGACUAAUGGGGAGUGAUAAGAGACAGGUGCAGGAAACACAAUCAGGGAUCAGGUGCACACAGACGAGGAGGAGGCGGGACAGACAGGAACCUGGAACAGAGACAGAGAUCGCAGUCCUGUCGGCGAAAACGAGGAGAACAAGGCAGAAUUUGUGCACACGUGUAACAUGAGCACAGCUGUUGAUCAUUACUGGGGGUCUCUGGGGUUUCAUAGCCUGCCAUGCAGUUACAUCAGGAGAACAUUCCUCUGGUUUUCAAGCCAAGCAGCAUCUCACAAACGCUGCACCAUUGCACACAUGUAAUCCCUCCCCUCGCUGACUUUGGAGUACAAAAAAGUCCCCUGACCUUUGACCUUCCAGAACAAGUUCAUGGAUCGGUGCCUGGUUAUCCUCACUGCUUUGGUUCAAUCCCUUUCGUAUGUUGGCCCUCACCCAUGUGGCCCCUGUGGUGAUUGUGCUGCGUCUCCUCCUCCUGACAGCAACAGUC